AUUUUUCUCUUAUUUUUCGUUUGGCACAGUUUUUUUCAUCACCGUCUCCAUUCAAAAUGCAGUUUUUUCAAGUUCAUCAAGGUUUACUAUCAGUCAGCAUUGCCAUGAUUACGAUAUCAUUAACUGCUGGGCUGAAUUGCUCAAAAUGCGUAGACGUUCGAAAUGUGCAAGUACUGAAAAACACAGUCUCCGGUUUUACUUUCACUGUUGAUCCCGCGAACAUACCAACUAGCCAGCUAUGUGAAUCUGUGAAAAAUGGACAAGUUGCAGCUGGUGUUUCAGUUGUUGAAUGCCCAGAUAACUCAAGUAGUUCCCAAGAGUUCAGGUGUGUUCACUACAGCGGAACGCUCGAUAUGUCACUUACCUUGGACCUGGGAAGCACAUCGGGAGAAAGUAAUUUUUUUGCAAAAAUGUCAUAUUAAAUUUCUUUAUCUUUGAGAUUUUUCAAAUACGAUUGGCUUUUUUUGAUAUAUAAAAAAUAAACAUUAAAAAAACCAAAAAACGAAAGUAUAAAAUUUUAUUGCAAUCCUUUUUUUAUAGUCAAAGUCCGCUAUGAAGGAACAUAUAGGGAUUGUAUUCUCGAAUAUGUCAGUGAAAGCGGCUCUUGUACGAAUCAAAAGUCUAUUCUUCCAGAAGAUGACAAACUACGUGCUGAGGCCUUAUCAACUUUACCCUUGGCCUCGCCUUCAAUUAUCGUGGAAUUUGACGGGAAAAAAUGUGUAUCAGAUAAUAACGGAACCUUCUUUGCUGUCUUUAAACCCAAUUCAAAAGCUGUAUUUAUAGAAAGUAAUCUGUUUGCGAUUGCUGUAAAUAUACUAGUCAUCAUUUUCACAAUGUUUUAGCAUUUAUUUAUUAUAUUAAAAUGAACAACUGAUUCAUCAUUUAAAACUUCUUGUAGGCCAAACUCUCAUUUGAUUUAUAGUACAGUUUGCUUUAAAUUGGACGCACAUACCUUUGUAUUUGUUUUCAUUAUCAUAAUUUGAUUUAGAAAUUUUUGUAUGCUCUUUGAUUUUGUGUUAUUAAACAUUUUUCCAUUACGAUUUUUAUUUGCUGUAUUUUGAUAUAAAUUUCAUUUUGUUGAUAUGAAUAAACAUAUUUUAAAUGUAUAAAGA
rnacentral:misc_RNA from 1 species